GAAAGCCGUGUGCAAUGAAAAAUGCAAGCACGGUUUGGGGAGGGAUUUUUUAUUCUUUAACUUUUUAAUUAGUAAAUUAGAAUUUAUUUAAUUUAAACAAGGAAAUUAUCUACUCCAU
rnacentral:ncRNA from 1 species